GACGAACGCUGGCGGCGUGCCUAAUACAUGCAAGUUGAGCGCUGAAGGUUGGUACUUGUACCAACUGGAUGAGCAGCGAACGGGUGAGUAACGCGUGGGGAAUCUGCCUUUGAGCGGGGGACAACAUUUGGAAACGAAUGCUAAUACCGCAUAAAAACUUUAAACACAAGUUUUAAGUUUGAAAGAUGCAAUUGCAUCACUCAAAGAUGAUCCCGCGUUGUAUUAGCUAGUUGGUGAGGUAAAGGCUCACCAAGGCGAUGAUACAUAGCCGACCUGAGAGGGUGAUCGGCCACAUUGGGACUGAGACACGGCCCAAACUCCUACGGGAGGCAGCAGUAGGGAAUCUUCGGCAAUGGACGAAAGUCUGACCGAGCAGCGCCGCGUGAGUGAAGAAGGUUUUCGGAUCGUAAAACUCUGUUGGUAGAGAAGAACGUUGGUGAGAGUGGAAAGCUCAUCAAGUGACGGUAACUACACAGAAAGGGACGGCUAACUACGUG
rnacentral:rRNA from 1 species